rnacentral:lncRNA from 1 species
AAAAAAACUUUGUUCUUCCAUGACAACUCUAAUACAACUCUUACAUGUAAACAGAAGUAAAAAUCCACAUAAACCCGGAUCAAGUUUUAGAACAAAGUCAACCACAUAGAAAAAUGAAAAUGAAAGCAAACAUGUGAUUAAUGCAGAAGAUAAAUUAACAAAUAAUCACAUGGGAGGUGCAAUCCAUCGUUGGAGCAGAAACGAUCAACUUCGGUCAAAUCCUUUAUGUGUUACUGUUCAUCAGCAUCGCAAAGAAAAGAAAAGGAGAAAGUCAUUACCAGAGCAACUGAAUCAAUCGACGCCAAUCAAAC